CUUUGUGACUUUCUGCACCUCUAUGAUAAACAGCAAGAGCAGACUGCUGAUGUCAAAGGUACUCCUGUCCUGUACUGGCUUCCCAUAUACAAACGUGAGGAGGACCCACAGUUCUUCAAAGUUUGGAAUAUUAGUCACCAGAGGCAGACAUCAGCAGCACCUCUGUUGGCAUUCUGACCGUCAGCAACAACAAUACAAGUUCAGUUCAUAUCUGUCCGCUCAGUACAGCAGUUGUGGUGGAAGAUGAGCUUGUGGUAGGCGACAUUCCUAAAUGGGUAUUUUUUGGAGCGCUAAUGUUUGUAGGGAAAGGGCAGACUAAGAAAAUACAGUUUUAUGUGGGAAAAGGGUACACAAUUUUUGCUUUUCUUGAAAUGUAAGAAUGCUCUUUUUUAUAAAGUUGUAUAAGGAAAUGGUGUAAAAAAGAUUGGUGCUCAUUUUUUGCUUUUCUUGAAGACUGAUUUUUUUUAUGGCUUGUGCACUUUUUUUUACACAAAUUGUGCAGGGUUUUACACUUUCUAGUACCAUAAGUUGUUCAAAUGUACUUUUGUAAGGUGGUUCAAAAAUAAACUUGCAAUUGC